AACGAACGCUGGCGGCAGGCUUAAUACAUGCAAGUCGAACGAGAAAGUUCCUUCGGGGAUGAGUAGAGUGGCGCACGGGUGAGUAACGCGUGGGAAUGUACCCUUGGGUAGUGAAUAACCGUUGGAAACGACGGCUAAUGCACUAUAAUGACUCCGGUCUAAAGAUUUAUCGCCCUAGGAUCAGCCCGCGUGAGAUUAGUUUGUUGGUGGGGUAAUGGCCUACCAAGACUACGAUCUCUAGCUGGUCUGAGAGGAUGAUCAGCCACACUGGAACUGAGACACGGUCCAGACUCCUACGGGAGGCAGCAGUAGGGAAUAUUGGACAAUGGGCGAAAGCCUGAUCCAGCCAUGCCGCGUGAGUGAUGAAGGCCUUAGGGUUGUAAAACUCUUUCAUUGGUGAAGAUAAUGACGGUAACCAAAGAAGAAGCCCCGGCUAACUUCG
rnacentral:rRNA from 1 species